UCUCAAUGAUGAAAACUUUGUCCAGUUCUGCUACUGACUUGACUUGAUGAUAAAGCAUUAUCUGAGGAGA